UCCCUGGUGGUCUAAUGGUUAAGGAUCUGGCAUUAUCACUGCUGUGGUACAGGUUCGAUCUCUGGCUUGGGAA
rnacentral:tRNA from 1 species